GAGUCUUGCUCUGUUUCCCCAGACUGGAAUGCAGUGGUGAUCUCCACUCACUGAAACCUCUGCCUCCCGGGUUCAAGUGAUUCUCCUGCCUCAGCCUCCCCAGUAGCUGAGAUUACAGGCACCUGCCACCAUGCCCAGCUAAUUUUUUUGUAUUUUUAAUAGAGACGGGGUUUCACCAUGUUGGCCAGGUUGGUCUUGAACUCCUGACAUCAGGUGAUCCGUCCCCUCUUGGCAUUCCAAAGUGGUGGGAUUACAGGCAUGAGCCACUGCUCCCGGCCUGAAGAUUUGGACUAAACAGGUUCAUGCUUCCUUGUAGCCCUCUCUACUGCUGAGAAAAGUGCAUGGGUUUCUGUAAAGAGAUGGGAGGUGAUAAUGUCUGUCUUCUCCAUCAAGAUGAAAAUACAUCUGCUAAAUUGGUAGGAGCCCCCACCCUCUUUCAGAAUGGGCUGUUAGCAGGGCUGAGGAGGGGCUGGACAAAUUGGAUAGUAGAGUGGUCAAGGUGGGGGAGGUUGACACUUUUUUUUUUUUUUUCAGACAGAGUCUUGCUGUGUUGCCCAGGCUGGAGUGCAGUGGCGCGAUCUCGGCUCACUGCAAGCUCCACCUCCCGGGUUCAUGCCAUUCUCCUGCCUCAGCCUCCCAAGUAGCUGGGACUACAGGCACCCGCCACCACGCCCAGCUAAUUUUUGUAUUUUUAGUAGAGAUGGGUUUCACCGUGUUAGCCAGGAUGGUCUCAAUCUCCUGACCUCGUGAUCCACCCGCCUCGGCCUCCCAAAGUGCUGGGAUUACAGGCGUGAGCCACCGCGCCCAGCAGGUUGACACAUAUUAAUGCCCACUGUUCCUCCCACUGCCCUCUGUCCCAUUUAUGGUUCACCUCCUCUAGAUAUAAGGCUUCAGAGAACACUGGAGGGCUAGUGGACAGAGCUCACUCUUCUUUCUCUUCUUUAUCUUUCUGCCCAGAUGCCCAAAUACCAUUCCUGGUUCCCAGGGGAGAAAAGACCCCUUCACCCUGCCCCAGGCACCAGGCUGCCAGCCCAUCUGCUGGGGAGAAAGGAGGGGGCAGAGUCUUUCCCAGGGGAUCCUGGAGAAUCAGUUUGAAGAUCAGUGCUCCCAGGGAGAUCCAGCUAGUAGACUUACAAGGCAUUUCGGUUCACACGGGAACCAGCAGGAUGGAGCUGAACAGCGGGGUGGGCUCGGGACGAGGGUAGAGGGCUGGCACAGCAGGGUAAGGUCCUUUGGCCACCACGUGUCAGAGGUAGGCUGAGCUGCUCGUUGGUGCCCACCCGCCACCGCCACCGCAGGAUGGUAGAAGCACCCCCCUCUCCGAGCCCAGUCUCACCGGCUCAGAGGCGCCAGGGCCCCCCCGGGGGCCGGGGCGGGCCGGGGAAGGUAAUGUAAUUCCGGCCCAGCUAACCCGAUUACCGCGGCCUGCACCGGGCAGGGCGGCGGCGGGGGCGGGUCUAAGGCUCAGGGGCCCGUCCGCGGGGGUCCCAUCCCCGGGAAGGACGCAGAGUUCACGCACUCCCGGCUCCUGGAUUCAUGGCCAGAGGUCACAAGGUCACCAAGCGGCUUAGGUCUUUCCCCACCUCCCUUCUCUGACAGCUCCAGGCCAUUUUCUGAGUUUGGGUGGGGUAAAAUGUUUAUGGGAAACAAGGCGGCCAGGAUCCAACCAAGGCCUCAGUGAGGUCCCACGUGUCCCCUGUGGCGAGAUUUCGCCCUCCCGCCGUUGAGGAGGAAGAGUGUGAGAACAGACUUCCUAGGCACAGAAUGGAGGGGCAGAGUCCUGCAUUGAGGACUCCCUGCACUUGGGGUCCGGGGGUAAGUGCCAGCCCCAAGAACCCGCCGGCCUGAUUUGGCCCGGGUUGAGCCAUGGUCCAUUUUACACGGAUUUUGGAAAAUCGAAAUUCUAAGAAACACAGGACACCAAUUACCGGUGCGCAUGAACAGGGCUGGGGGGACCUACAGGAGAGGCCAGAAGGCGCACCACGAUCGCCAGCCCAAAGCGGCCGUUCCCCGCCCUUAGCCCCUGCCGUCCCCUUCCCACACCUGUUCUCUUCCUGGGCCUGCAGCUCACCGGGCGCCGUUCCCCAGCCGCUUCUUACGCAGCCAGGAAACCACAACGAGAUUUGGUCUUCGAGGGCAUUUAGGCGGGGACCACAACGAAUCCGGGAGUUGGCCAGAAGGAUCCAUCGAGAGGCGAAGAGUGGGGGCUGGGGGAGGAGGCACCUGCGGAGGAAGCCGGUGAGGCGAAGGCAGCCCAAAGGCGGAGGCCGCCCAAAGGCGGAGGCCAGCAAGGAUGGAGGCGCGGUGAGCAUCUCCGCUGACUCAGCGGCCCAUGCUCGGGCCCCUCCCGCGCUGGGCCUGGCUCCUAACACCCUGGCCCCCUGGCCCCCGCCCCGCACAUCUCCGCCAGCCAGCCUUCCCCCUGCGCUUGGCGCAAACAGGCGUCCCUUCCCCUUUAACUGCUGGGCCCCGCCCCUGCCCUACCCCCAGCCCCCACUACCCACCCGGGCCGAUCCGUCAGUCACUGCCCCAGCCGGAGCUGGCCAACCCUCUCCACCCGGGACUUGGGCAGCAGCGCCGGCAGCCCAGCGUCUAUUUGCGCUUAAGAGCCAGCAAGGAAGCUCCAGGGGCCCCAGCUGGCCGUGCUCCCCCGGGAUGCAAGUCCCUGCGCUGACGCCCGGCAGCGGCUGGCACGGGCGCGGCUGCUCCGGGUGCACAGGGAUGCUGCUGUUUCGGGGACCCCGGCGACCUGCCUUGGCCAGCCCCGCGGGCCCCUGAGGCCACUCUCCGGAGCGCGCCGCCGCUGGGCUUCUGGCGCUGCCUGAGGCAUCCUCCCCAACCACCGAACCUCCGGCGGUUCUCCUCGGCCCAGACCGAUGGAGCCGGGGAUGCUGGGUCCACACAACCUCCCACACCACGAGCCAAUCAGCUUCGGUAUCGAUCAGAUCCUGAGCGGCCCCGAAACCCCAGGGGGCGGUCUAGGCCUGGGUCGCGGGGGCCAGGGUCAUGGGGAGAGUGGGGCGUUCUCGGGUGGAUACCACGGAGCCUCGGGCUACGGUCCCGCCGGCUCACUUGCCCCGCUGCCCGGCAGCUCCGGAGUGGGCCCAGGCGGCGUGAUCCGCGUCCCUGCGCACCGCCCGCUGCCUGUGCCGCCGCCCGCGGGGGGGGCGCCUGCAGUGCCUGGGCCCUCGGGUUUGGGCGGCGCCGGAGGCCUAGCGGGACUCACCUUCCCCUGGAUGGACAGCGGCCGCCGCUUUGCCAAGGACCGGCUCACGGCUGCGCUCUCGCCCUUCUCUGGGACGCGCCGCAUAGGCCACCCCUACCAAAACCGGACCCCUCCGAAGCGGAAGAAGCCGCGCACGUCCUUCUCCCGCUCACAGGUGCUGGAGUUGGAGCGGCGCUUCCUGCGCCAGAAGUACCUGGCCUCUGCGGAGAGGGCGGCGCUGGCCAAGGCCUUGCGCAUGACCGACGCACAGGUCAAAACGUGGUUCCAGAACCGACGCACCAAGUGGCGGCGCCAGACGGCGGAGGAGCGCGAGGCCGAGCGGCACCGCGCGGGCCGGCUGCUCCUGCACCUGCAGCAGGACGCGUUGCCACGGCCGCUGCGGCCGCCGCUGCCCCCGGACCCUCUCUGCCUGCACAACUCGUCGCUCUUCGCGCUGCAGAACCUGCAGCCCUGGGCCGAGGACAACAAAGUGGCUUCAGUGUCCGGGCUCGCCUCGGUGGUGUGAGCGACGCCCGUCCGAUCGGCGUGGAGCGCCGGGCCCGGAGCGGUGGAGCGCGCGGCUGCCUGCGCCCAUGGUCUAGUGGCAGCCGGGCGCGUGAGGAGUGGCAGGCCUUGAGGCUGUCGUCGAGGGCUCCUCCACCACCGGCCGGCUCCCAAGCCAGCGUUGCGCAGAUGCACGGCCAGCUCAGAGGCGGCCUUUCCCGCCAUUUUUCACUUCACUGCCGUUACGCCGCCGCUGGAACCUGAGGCGCCGAGAGGGCGGGACCUGCAGGACAGUAGCCAAUGAGGUGCGGGGAGGGGGCCGGGCUGGCCAAUGGGAGCUGCUUUCCUGAGGGACUCGAAAUUCUCCGGCGGGUGGUCGGGAGCUGGGGCUCUGAGGGGCUCUAGCGGCGUUGCGCGCGGUGCCGGCUGGGUCUGUACCAAAGGUGUGAAGGAAAGAAGACGCCGACCACGGCGAAGCAAUAGAGGGGGUGCUGGAGCGCGAGAGGCUGGCUGAUUGUGACCGAAACCAGAGGGUUGUCCACCCCGGGCAUCUCAUCCCUCAACUGUAAAAUAAUCGCUAAGGAUUCCUUCCUGACUUUGAGCCUCACGUUGUCAUGUGUGUUCAGCCUGCUGGCCACAUCCUCCGGCAACACGCCCGGGCAGGAGGCGAGUCGGAUACUUACACACCCAACGAAAGAGAAAAUCUAGAAAGAAAAUCUGGCUCUGGUGUCACAUAGGGACAGAGAAGGGAGAGGAGGAAACAGUGGACAAAGUUAAUGGGCCCAGUGGAGUUAGGGUGAAGAGAAUUUGGAAAAUAAUUUGGAAGUGACAAGCUUAAGAAGAAUCAAAGUGAGGGCAAAGGCUCUUACCUGGUGGGAACCCUCUUGCUCGCAGUCGUCUUGCCUCUGCCUGACACUUGCUGAUUGGCCUCAACACUUGGAAUUCUGCUCGGAUCCUAGGAUUGUAAACCUGUUGCCCGUCCCCCAACCAAGGCCAAGACAGAUCAGAGUGGGCCAUUUCUGCCUUUACUACCCCACCGCUAUCUCUCUCUCUCACUCACACUUCGGAGCU